UACGUAGGCAGCAAGCGUUGUUCGGAGUUACUGGGCGUAAAGGGUGCGUAGGCGGUUGUUUAAGUAUGGUGUGAAAUCUCCCGGCUUAACUGGGAGGGUGCGCUAUAGACUGUGGGACUAGAGUGUGGGAGAGGAAAGUGGAAUUCCUGGUGUAGCGGUGAAAUGCGUAGAUAUCAGGAGGAACACCGGUGGUGUAAACGGCUUCUGGACCAUAACUGACGCUGAGGCACGAAAGCGUGGGUAGCAAACAGG
rnacentral:rRNA from 1 species